UACGUAGGGACCAAGCGUUGUUCGGAUUUACUGGGCGUAAAGGGCGCGUAGGCGGCAAUUCAAGUCAGUUGUGAAAUCUCCGAGCUUAACUCGGAACGGUCAACUGAUACUGCUUUGCUAGAGUACAGAAGGGGCAAUCGGAAUUCCUGGUGUAGCGGUGAAAUGCGCAGAUAUCAGGAAGAACACCUAUGGCGAAGGCAGCUCUCUGGGACGGUACUGACGCUGAGACGCGAAAGCGUGGGGAGCGAACAGG
rnacentral:rRNA from 1 species